AGCAAUUGCCUGGUUAUAUAAGCAUUUGGAGGUGCAUAAAUAGAUGGCAAAGCAACCUCACCUCCACUAGAAGAAUGACAGAGUAGCUGCAAAAGGACGAUGAUCCCUGAUUUGGAAUGAGUACUUGUUGGAUGCUUUUGUUCACUUCGAUGAAGACUGCUAUUUUAGGUUCUUGUGCACUAUUGCUAAAGAAGUGAAUUUGAUUGAUCUCUGUAUCCUAGAUAUGAACCAUGUACUAGAGAAUGAAUCUUGUCAGUGUACUUUUGAAGACUUGAAUGGAUCUUGUCAGUGGAAUUAUU